UCUGUUCAGCUUCUGGCCUUAAAGGUGUGGUUCGGAGUAAUUUCAACCUAGGGUUCUUUACACCAUGACCUCAAGCCAAACACUUCCCCCAGAAGCUUUUUUUCCCUUGGUCAAACAUUAGGCAUGUUAG